rnacentral:rRNA from 1 species
CCUACGGGGGGCAGCAGUGGGGAAUAUUGGGCAAUGGAGGCAACUCUGACCCAGCAACGCCGCGUGAAUGAUGAAGGUCUUCGGAUUGUAAAGUUCUUUUCUAAGGGAAGAAGAAAGUGACGGUACCUUAGGAAUAAGCCUCGGCUAACUACGUGCCAGCAGCCGCGGUAAUACGUAGGAGGCAAGCGUUAUCCGGAAUGACUGGGCGUAAAGGGGGCGUAGGUGGUUGGACAAGUUAGUAGCGCAACUCCGGAGCUCAACUUCGGAACUACUACUAAAACUGUUGAACUGGAGUACAGGAGAGGUAAGCGGAAUUCCUAGUGGAGCGGUGAAAUGCGUAGAUAUUAGGAGGAACACCAGUGGCGAAGGCGGCUUACUGGACUGUAACUGACGUUGAGGCUCGAAAGCGUGGGGAGCAAACAGGAUUAGAUACCCCGGUAGUC